rnacentral:rRNA from 1 species
CUGCAGCCCGAGUGGUGAUCGUUUUUAUUGGGCCUAAAGCGUCCGUAGCCGGUCUAGUAAAUCCUUGGAUAAAUCGUACAGCUUAACUGUACGGCUCCCGGGGAGACUGCUAGACUUGGGACUGGGAGAGGUCGGAGGUACUCCAGGGGUAGGGGUGAAAUCUUGUAAUCCUUGGGGGACCACCAGUGGCGAAGGCGUCCGACUAGAACGGGUCCGACGGUAAGGGACGAAGCCCUGGGGCGCGAACCGGAUUAGAUACCCGAGUAGUCC